rnacentral:rRNA from 1 species
GACGAACGCUGGGGGCGUGCUUAACACAUGCAAGUCGAACGGAAAGGCCCUGCUUUUGUGGGGUGCUCGAGUGGCGAACGGGUGAGUAACACGUGAGUAACCUGCCCUUGACUUUGGGAUAACUUCAGGAAACUGGGGCUAAUACCGGAUAGGAGCUCCUGCUGCAUGGUGGGGGUUGGAAAGUUUCGGCGGUUGGGGAUGGACUCGCGGCUUAUCAGCUUGUUGGUGGGGUAGUGGCUUACCAAGGCUUUGACGGGUAGCCGGCCUGAGAGGGUGACCGGCCACAUUGGGACUGAGAUACGGCCCAGACUCCUACGGGAGGCAGCAGUGGGGAAUAUUGCACAAUGGGCGGAAGCCUGAUGCAGCCACGCCGCGUGCGGGAUGACGGCCUUCGGGUUGUAAACCGCUUUCGCCUGUGACGAAGCGUGAGUGACGGUAAUGGGUAAAGAAGCACCGGCUAACUACGUG